AAGGUCUCAUGGAGCUCAACAGGAAAGGGAGGGACUUCGCCUCUCUAUAAGCAUGCAGCAGCAGUAGUAGCAGCAGUAGCAGCAGCCGGAAAAAUGUCCACGAGAAACUUCAUCUUGCGUUGCAAAAGGACAAUAAAUGACUGCACAAGACUUCUCCAAACAGAUGAUGCCGGUCAUGCCGUGUUACAAUCCACAGUAACGAGGUUAGAAACCAUGGAAAGGAGCCUCGAGUGGUCACGGGGCAGGCUAAUUAACGUCCCUACAGCUGAUCUUUUACUUCAGGACCUUCGGGAAUAUAUACUUGAAGUCCGGAGAUCUUGGCCUACCACACCCGCACAACAAGGUCAUUCUGGCUACCACGCCCCACUCAUUUUGUUGGGUGGUCGAGGUCCCCCACAAUUCAGCAUUUCCAGAGAGCAACUCUCUUUUUGAGGAGCUGUGGGUUUUACAGCAACAAAGAUGGCACAGAUAUUAAAAGUAUCUCUGCGCACAGUGAGACGGCGAUUGAGGCAGUUCCACAUGCUGCGCUCUGGGACAUACUCCACCAUCUCAGAUGCUACACUAGACGACCCUCAUCAAGGAGAUAGUGGCUGGUUAAUAACCGAUUGGG